rnacentral:rRNA from 1 species
UACGAAGGGGGCUAGCGUUGUUCGGAUUUACUGGGCGUAAAGCGCACGUAGGCGGAUCGUUAAGUCAGGGGUGAAAUCCUGGAGCUCAACUCCAGAACUGCCUUUGAUACUGGCGAUCUUGAGUCCGGAAGAGGUGAGCGGAACUCCUAGUGUAGAGGUGGAAUUCGUAGAUAUUAGGAAGAACACCAGUGGCGAAGGCGGCUCACUGGUCCGGUACUGACGCUGAGGUGCGAAAGCGUGGGGAGCAAACAGG